rnacentral:lncRNA from 1 species
GGCCACCUACAAAGCCAUGUGGAACACUGCGGUCAACGGUUUCCAUCAGGCUGAGGCCGACACAACCACAGUCAGAGAUCCAAGCGCCAGGGUCCUAAACCUCUGUCUGUUCUCGCACACCCUGCUCAGAAGGGAGCCAUGGGAAAUGCAGGCCACUUAGCACAGAACAGCAGCAUGCUUAACAAGCUCCAAUGAUCAAAGUUUGAUGAAGAAUUCAAAAAAUGCUUUAUCUUUGUGCAUGUUUGAGUGGAGCAACCUAGAGGACCAGCAUAUUCAUGAAGACCCACAGUCUGUGCUGCAGAGUUCUCCUCUGUUCCCUCCUGACCCAGAGGCCACUCUGUCUGCACAGCCCAGGCUGCGGCACCUGUCCCAGGAGAGUUGUAUGUUGCUCACACUGGUAGAUGAGCCAUGUUCCUCAGAAGACAUCUCUGGUUGUCACUUCCAGAGAGAAGAAGGAGGCAGCCCUACUGGUAAAGACCAGAGUUUAUUCCACUUUGCUCCACAAUGCACAGCUCAUCCCUGCACAAAGACUCUCUGUUUGGCCCAAAGCAAUUACCUGAUAGAAAUAAAAUAGAUGAAGCCUAUCAUUUUUUUACACCUAUUUCUGACCUUUACUGGACUCUCCGAAUCUCCAUCUUCACUCCCUCUCCCUCCCUCCUUCUCCUCCACAUUUUGUCUUUAAUGAAAUCUCUGAUAACUCAUUUUUGUUGUUGAUGAUAAAGGAAAAUUUCUUAUAACUAGAAGUGUGAGCUGACAUUCCCCAGAAAUAUAAUCCUAAAUUAAGAAAGAAUGCAAUAAACG